rnacentral:rRNA from 1 species
GAUGAACGCUAGCUACAGGCUUAACACAUGCAAGUCGAGGGGUAGCAGGGUAGCAAUACCGCUGACGACCGGCGCACGGGUGAGUAACACGUAUCCAACCUUCCCAUAACUCGGGGAUAGCCUUUCGAAAGAAAGAUUAAUACCCGAUAGUACUUUAUUAGGGCAUCUUAAGAAAGUUAAAGAUUUAUUGGUUAUGGAUGGGGAUGCGUUCCAUUAGAUAGUUGGUGAGGUAACGGCUCACCAAGUCUUCGAUGGAUAGGGGUUCUGAGAGGAAGGUACCCCACAUUGGUACCGAGACACGGACCAAACUCCUACGGGAGGCAGCAGUGAGGAAUAUUGGUCAAUGGGCGAGAGCCUGAACCAGCCAAGUAGCGUGAAGGAUGAAGGUCCUAUGGAUUGUAAACUUCUUUUAUAGUAGAAUAAAGUGAACCACGUGUGGUUUUUUGUAUGUAUACUAUGAAUAAGGAUCGGCUAACUCCGUGCCAGCCGCCGCUGUAA